CGCAAAAAGUGGGGAGAUUGACCUUUGAUCCACAAAAAGGAUGAGAAGAAUCUGCCAGAGAGGGAGAUGAGAAAAGUUUAAUCCUCUGCAUAUUCACAUUGAAUAAAAAAAAAAGAAACUUCGAAUCGUAAAACAGAGACAAAGAUGGUCGGAAGCAAGGAGAAACGAGACAAGAGACUCCAACAAGUCUCUCUCCUUCGUACUAUUCCUUACUCCGAUCACCAGAGGUGGUGGACCUCUGAAACUGUGGCGGUGGUAACGGGUGCGAAUAGAGGGAUAGGAUUUGAGAUGGUCAAACAAUUGGCGGGACAUGGCUUAACUGUUAUUCUAACAUCUAGAGACGAGAAUGUUGGCUUCGAAGCCGCUAAAGUCUUGCAAGAAGGUGGCUUCAACGUUGAUUUCCACCGCCUUGACAUCUUGGACCCGUCCUCAAUUCAAGACUUCUGCCAAUGGAUUAAGGAUAAAUAUGGAUUCAUUGAUGUUUUAAUAAACAAUGCAGGUGUAAACUACAAUGUUGGAACACAUAACUCCGUCGAGAACUCCCACAUGGUUAUAUCUACAAACUACAAUGGGACAAAGAACAUAAUCAAAGCCAUGCUUCCAUUGAUGAGACAAGCUUCUCCUGGUGCUCGUAUUGUCAAUGUCACCUCCAGGCUCGGUAGAUUAAAAGGCCGCCACAGUAAACUCGAGAACGAAGCCGUGAGAGCUAAGCUUAUGGAUGUGGACUCUCUGACAGAGGAAGCCGUCGACGAAACAGUUACAGAGUUUCUGAAGCAGGUGGAAGAAGGAACGUGGGAAUCAGGAGGUUGGCCACACUCUUUCACAGACUACUCCGUCUCGAAAAUGGCGGUGAACGCGUACACGAGAGUGCUAGCGAAAGAACUGUCCGAGAGACCAGAAGGAGAGAAGAUAUAUGCAAACUGCUUUUGUCCCGGUUGGGUGAAAACCGCAAUGACCGGUUAUGCUGGGAAUAUCUCGGCAGAGGAUGGAGCUGACACAGGAGUCUGGCUUGCGUUGCUUCCUGAUCAAGCUAUCACUGGAAAGUUCUUUGCCGAGAGACGUGAGAUCAGUUUCUAAAUGAGAAAAAUGGAUGGUGCUUGAUUCUUGUGUUGUUCUUACUCGUUUUUUUUUAAGAAAGAAAGCUAUUUAAAGUUAGUUUUAUAGUUUAAUUGUGGAAAAUAUAUGAGUUGAUAUGAAUAAAAGUUUUACCCCUUAAAAGCAUCAUCAACGCGGACGUUUAACCUGGUUGCUUAGUGUUUUUAGUUAAAAAAAAAAAUUGUGUAAUUAAAGAAAAACUGUUGCUUAAUUAAGACUCAGAAACAACGUUGCUUAUAGACACGUGUCAAACAUUCACCAUUCUUCCUCUCUCUCUCGAUGAAAUCGUCUUCUCUCUUUCUCUCAUGUUCGACAACUCCGACCAAAAAAAUCUCUCCUUUUGCAUAGAUUUGCUCUCCGUUUCCCUUCUUUGAUUUCGUUCAACGAUCACGCUAGAGAGUCAGUCAUCAUCAAGAUUGGUGUCUCCUCUCCAUCUCGAUUCAGUCGACGAUUCCGGGUCUCGUCCUUGAUCUUUCGGUGGUCGGCGCCUUUGUCGAUGUCUCUCUGGUGGUUGUCGUUAACAAAUCCGCCUAUCAUUUGUGAUCUCUCCUCGACAUAGAGAAUCACUCGGCGUCUAUUUUGGAGUCUCUCCUCAAGGACUCCACCUCUGUUCCUUCAUCGACGAUUAAACCAUCCCUCUCUCUCUCUCUACGGUUCUCCUCGACGGUCGGUGGAAUCGAAUUGAAAGAUUUUCCUGAUCAUCGUUCAAUCUCUUUAUGAUUCAUGUCUCUGGAUUGUGUGCUUUACUUGACGUAUAUGGGGCUUUGCAAGAUGCUUGAGCCUAACCGUGAGAACUUUAACUAUGGUGGUAACUGGUAAGGUGGUGGUUAUGGUUCUAUCUUUCUUCUUUCUACUUCGAUUGUAUAAAAUCUAGACUUGUGCUUGGAGGAUAUUAACAAUUUUCUACAUUAUUUCCCUUUUUAUGAUGUACUUUUUUUUCAUAGUGGGUCCUUGGGAUAGUAAUUAUUUUUACCCAACAUUUUCUUUGAUUUAAAAGAAUAAUAUUUAAGUUCCUCUA